rnacentral:misc_RNA from 1 species
UUGAAUUUUAAUGAAGAGUUUGGUUGUAGCUGGCCCAUUCAUUUGGGCAUGUGCACACCUUCCUCUUUCAUCCCACACACACCUGUGAACCUGUGAGACAGAGAUGGGGAAUUUACUUGCUGCUUUUUGGAAUACAAAGGCAAUAGGUUAUUGGACCCCCCCUCUGUCUACUCAAUUAAUAUAAACUCAAUUUAUUUUAAAACGAAUGUAAUGGAUGUAACACAUCUCAUAC